AGGGUAUGUAACCCGAGGUACCACUGUGUGUGUGUGUGUGUGUGUGUGUAUAUGUAUAUAUAUAUAUAUAUAUAUACAUAUAUACAUAUACACACAUAUGUAUAUAUAUAUGUGUGUGUGUGUGUGUAUAUAUAUACACACACACACACACACUGUAUAUAC